rnacentral:rRNA from 1 species
GUGGGGAAUCUUGCGCAAUGGGCGAAAGCCUGACGCAGCCAUGCCGCGUGAAUGAUGAAGGUCUUAGGAUUGUAAAAUUCUUUCACCGGGGACGAUAAUGACGGUACCCGGAGAAGAAGCUCCGGCUAACUUCGUGCCAGCAGCCGCGGUAAUACGAAGGGGGCUAGCGUUGCUCGGAAUUACUGGGCGUAAAGGGCGCGUAGGCGGACAGCUUAGUCAGAGGUGAAAGCCCAGGGCUCAACCUUGGAAUUGCCUUUGAUACUGGCUGUCUUGAGUUUGGUAGAGGUGAGUGGAACUCCGAGUGUAGAGGUGAAAUUCGUAGAUAUUCGGAAGAACACCAGUGGCGAAGGCGACUCACUGGCCCAAUACUGACGCUGAGGCGCGAAAGCGUGGGGAGCAAACAGGAUUAGAUACCCUUGUAGUCC